rnacentral:rRNA from 1 species
GACGGAGGAUGCAAGCGUUAUCCGGAAUUAUUGGGCGUAAAGCGUCCGCAGGGGGCUGUUCAAGUCUGCUGUCAAAGCGCAGAGCUUAACUCUGUACAGGCGGUGGAAACUGAAGAGCUAGAGUAUGGUAGGGGUAGAGGGAAUUCCCGGUGUAGCGGUGAAAUGCGUAGAUAUCGGGAAGAACACCAGUGGCGAAGGCGGCUCACUGGACCGGAACUGACGCUGAGGCGCGAAAGCGUGGGGAGCAAACAGG